UUAACGCUGGCUGUGUGCCUAAUACAUGCAUGUUGAACGAAGCAGUGCUUGCACUGACUUAGUAGCGAAUGGGUGAGUAACACGUACCUAACCUACCUUUUAGAUUGGGAUAACUACUGGAAACAGUAGCUAAUACCGAAUACGAAUUUCUGUCGCAUGAUGGAAGUUUAAAAGGAGCCUCAAAGCUUCACUUAAAGAUGGGGGUGCGGAACAUUAGCUAGUUGGUAGGGUAAUGGCCUACCAAGGCGAUGAUGUUUAGCCGGGCCGAGAGGCUGUACGGCCACACUGGGACUGAGAUACGGCCCAGACUCCUACGGGAGGCAGCAGUAGGGAAUUUUCCACAAUGAGCGAAAGCUUGAUGGAGCGACACAGCGUGCAGGAUGAAGGCCUUCGGGUUGUAAACUGCUGUUGCAAGGGAAGAAAAAAUAGGGUAGGAAAUGAYCCUUAAUUGACGGUACCUUGUUAGAAAGCGAUGGCAAACUAUGUGCCAGCAGCCGCGGUAAUACAUAGGUCGCGAGCGUUAUCCGGAAUUAUUGGGCGUAAAGAGUUCGUAGGUUGUUUGUUAAGUCUGGAGUUAAAUACCGAAGCUCAACUUCGGCCCGCUUUAGAUACUGGCAAGCUAGAAUUACAAAGAGGUUAGCGGAAUUCCUAGUGAAGCGGUGGAAUGCGUAGAUAUUAGGAAGAACACCAAUAGGCGAAGGCAGCUAACUGGUUGUAUAUUGACACUGAGGAACGAAAGCGUGGGGAGCAAACAGGAUUAGAUACCCUGGUAGUCCACGCCGUAAACGUUGAUCAUUAGUUGGUAGGAAGACUUACCGAUGCAGCUAACGCAGUAAAUGAUCCGCCUGAGUAGUAUGCUCGCAAGAGUGAAACUUAAAGGAAUUGACGGGGACCCGCACAAGCGGAGGAGCAUGUGGUUUAAUUUGAAGAUACGCGUAGAACCUUACCCACUCUUGACAUCCCUUGCAAUGCUAUAGAGAUAUAGCGGAGGUUAACAAGGUGACAGAUGGUGCAUGGUUGUCGUCAGCUCGUGUCGUGAGAUGUUAGGUUAAGUCCUGCAACGAGCGCAACCCUUGUCUUUAGUUACUAACAUUUAGUUGAGGACUCUAGAGAGACUGCCUGGGUAACCAGGAGGAAGGUGGGGACGACGUCAAAUCAUCAUGCCUCUUACGAGUGGGGCAACACACGUGCUACAAUGGUUGGUACAAAGAGAAGCAAUAUGGUGACAUGGAGCAAACCUCAAAAAACCAAUCUCAGUUCGGAUUGAAGUCUGCAACUCGACUUCAUGAAGUCGGAUUCGCUAGUAAUCGCAGAUCAGCUACGCUGCGGUGAAUACGUUCUCGGGUCUUGUACACACCGCCCGUCACACCAUGGGAGUUGGUAAUGCCCGAAGCCGGUUAGUUAACUUCGGAGACGACUGUCUAAGGCAGGACCGAUGACUGGGGUGAAGUCGUAACAAGGUAUCCCUACGAGAACGUGGGGAUGGAUCACCUCCUUUCUACGGAGUACAUAGACAUCUUUAUAUUUGGCGUAUUUAAAAUCCUUUUUAAUAGCGUAAUUAAUCAUAAAAAGGUAAUUAUGGGCUUAGCCAAAGAGUUUUGUAUCUAGUUUUGAAAGUUCUAUCUUUCAAAAAA
rnacentral:rRNA from 1 species